ensembl:snoRNA U8 U8 small nucleolar RNA
UCAUCAGGUGGGAUCAUUCUUACCUGUUCAUCCUUUUUGGAGGGUGGAUUAGAAGAUGAUGAUUGUCCAGGUGAGAUGGCUCAUGCCUGUAAUCCCAGCACUUCGGGAGGCCAAGGCGGGCAGAUCACCUGAGGUCAGGAAUUUGAG